rnacentral:lncRNA from 1 species
GUUUCCUUCCUUCGCUGCCCAAGUGGUGGCGCCUGGCUAGACUGCGUGUGGGCCCCGGAGGGAUCCGGGGGUGCGGAGCUUGCGAGGCCGCCAAAGCUGUUGUCUCAACAAGGAGAGUCUGGGGCUAGUCCAAAGUCGUGUCUACAGCCUGCAGUUUGGUGUUUGAUUUGGAGGAAAUAUUUACUCUCCCUGGCCUCAGUUUACCCUUCACAUAAUAUAUUGAGUGCUCACCGAGCCAGGCUCUUUAAGGUAUUAUCUCAUUUAAUCACCACUACCAUGUAACGGCAUAGGGAGGCAAAGCUUACUUCCCUACACUGAGGAGAGUACACGAAAGCUGCUGUGGAGGCAGGAGUAUGGGGCUUGGAGUUAGAAAACUUAGGUUCAAAUCCUAGCCCUGCCACUUCCUAGCUUGGCCACCUUGGGCAGGUGAAACUCUGAAU